GAUGAAGAACGUAGCGAAAUGCGAUAAGUAGUGUGAAUUGCAGAAUUCAGUGAAUCAUCGAAUCUUUGAACGCACAUUGCGCCCCUUGGUAUCCCGAGGGGCAUGCCUGUUCGAGCGUCAUUUCACCACUCAAGCCUGGCUUGGUGUUGGGCGACGUCCCCUUUGGGGACGCGCCUCGAAACGCUCGGCGGCGUGGCACCGGCUUUAAGCAUAGCAGAAUCUUUCGCUUUGGAAGUCGGGGCCCCGUCUGCCGGAAGACCUACUCGCAAGGUUGACCUCGGAUCAGGCAGGGAUACCCGCUGAACUUAAGCAUAUCAAUAAGCGGAGGA
rnacentral:misc_RNA from 1 species